rnacentral:rRNA from 1 species
GUNCUGGCUCAGGAUGAACGCUAGCUACAGGCUUAACACAUGCAAGUCGAGGGGCAGCAUGGUCUUAGCUUGCUAAGGCCGAUGGCGACCGGCGCACGGGUGAGUAACACGUAUCCAACCUGCCGUCUACUCUUGGACAGCCUUCUGAAAGGAAGAUUAAUACAAGAUGGCAUCAUGAGUCCGCAUGUUCACAUGAUUAAAGGUAUUCCGGUAGACGAUGGGGA